rnacentral:rRNA from 1 species
GAUGAACGCUGGCGGCGUGCUUAACACAUGCAAGUCGAACGAAACACCUUAUUUGAUUUUCUUCGGAACUGAAGAUUUGGUGAUUGAGUGGCGGACGGGUGAGUAACUCGUUGGUAACCUGCCCUGUACAGGGGGAUAACAGUCAGAAAUGACUGCUAAUCCCGCAUAAGACCCCAGCACCGCAUGGUGCAGGGGUAAAAACUCCGGUGGUACAGGAUGGACCCGCGUCUGAUUAGCUGGUGGGUGAGGUAACGGCUCACCAAGGCGACGAUCAAUAGCCGGCAAGAGAGAGUGAACGGCGACACUGGGACGGAGACACAGCCCAGAAUCCUACGGGAGGCAGCAGUGGGUAAUAUUGCAAAAUGGGGGAAAUCCUGAUGCAGCUACGCCGCGUGAGUGAAGAAGUAUUGCGGUAUGUAAAGCUCUAUCAGCAGGGAAGAAAAUGACGGUACCUGACGAAGAAGCCCCGGCUAACUACGUG